rnacentral:rRNA from 1 species
UCCGGUUGAUCUGCCGGACCCGACUGCUAUCAGAGUGGACUAAGCCAUGCGAGUCAACAUAGCAAUAUGUGGCAUACGGCUCAGUAACACGUAGUCAACAUGCCCAGGGGACGUGGAUAACCUCGGGAAACUGAGGAUAAACCGCGAUAAAGUCACUACUUCUGGAAUGGGUAAUGACUCAAAUCUACAUGGCCCCUGGAUUGGACUGCGGCCGAUCAGGCUGUUGGUGAGGUAAUGGCCCACCAAACCUGUAACCGGUACGGGCUCUGAGAGGAGGAGCCCGGAGAUGGGCACUGAGACAAGGGCCCAGGCCCUAUGGGGCGCAGCAGGCGCGAAACCUCUGCAAUAGGCGAAAGCCUGACAGGGUUACUCUGAGUGAUUUCCGUUAAGGAGAUCUUCUGGCACCUCUAAAAAUGGUGCAGAAUAAGGGGUGGGCAAGUCUGGUGUCAGCCGCCGCGGUAAUACCAGCACCCCGAGUGGUCGGGACGUUUAUUGGGCCUAAAGCAUCCGUAGCCGGUUCUACAAGUCUUCCGUUAAAUCCACCUGCUUAACAGAUGGGCUGCGGAAGAUACUAUAGAGCUAGGAGGCGGGAGAGGCAAGCGGUACUCGAUGGGUAGGGGUAAAAUCCGUUGAUCCAUUGAGGACCACCAGUGGCGAAGGCGGUCUGCCAGAACACGUUCGACGGUGAGGGAUGAAAGCUGGGGGAGCAAACCGGAUUAGAUACCCGGGUAGUCCCAGCUGUAAACGAUGCAAACUCGGUGAUGCAUUGGCUUAUGGCCAAUGCAGUGCCGCAGGGAAGCCGUUAAGUUUGCCGCCUGGGAAGUACGGACGCAAGUCUGAAACUUAAAGGAAUUGGCGGGGGAGCA